rnacentral:lncRNA from 10 species
GCAGAAAAGGUGGGGGUUUGCAAAGGGAGUAACUUCUGGUUCCUUUGUUACUUAGGUAUGGAAAGUUAGGGUUUUCCUUUCACUUUAGUUCUAGGAAGUCAGCGUGAAACGCCUGAAGUUUUCUGCCUCCAGACUCUACUCUCCUGCCUCAAUUCUACUCUCUACUUUUAUAAGCUCGACUCACAUUUGAUGACAUAGAAGACUUAAUUUCCUCCUCAUGAUUAAUCUCUCAGUUGGAGAGUAUACACACUCUUACACAGAAUCCAGGACGAAAGCCCUCAUCAGAUGCUUACAUCAUGAUCUUGGACUUCCCAGCCUCCAGACUGCAGAAGCUUUGGAACUGGAAUGGCUCUUCAGAACUGACCCAGUUGAGACAAGGGGGCUAGAUCUUUGGACUGUGAUCUGACCACUCACUGACUACAGGCUGCUAUCAAAGAGGAGAUGUAAACCUG